rfam:Hordeum vulgare subsp. vulgare, WGS project CAJW01000000 data, contig: morex_contig_47172
UUUAUACUCCCUCCGUCCCAAAAUUCUUGUCUUAUAUUUGUUUAUAUAUAAAUGUAUCUAGUCAUGUUUUAAUAUUUAGAUACAUUCAUUUAUAGACAAAAGUAAGACAACAAUUUUGAAACGGAGGGAGUAGAUA